GGGUCAGUAGGUUGGUCGUGCUACCGGUACGUACUGGUCUCACUGAUUCCUCCUUCCUGAAGAACCGUAAUGCCAUUAAUUUGGUGUUGCGGGGAAACAGGACUGUUACUUUGAAAAAAUUAGAGUGUUUAAAGCAAGCUGACGCUUGAAUACAUUAGCAUGGAAUAAUGAAAUAGGACGAUCGAUCCUAUUUUGUUGGUUUCUAGGAUUGACGUA
rnacentral:rRNA from 1 species